rnacentral:rRNA from 1 species
ACGGAAGGCAGCAGUGGGGAAUAUUGGGCAAUGGGCGAAAGCCUGACCCAGCAACGCCGCGUGAAGGAAGAAGGUCUUCGGAUUGUAAACUUCUUUUAUCAGGGACGAAGGAAGUGACGGUACCUGAUGAAUAAGCCACGGCUAACUACGUGCCAGCAGCCGCGGUAAUACGUAGGUGGCAAGCGUUAUCCGGAUUUACUGGGUGUAGAGGGCGCGUAGGCGGGGAUGCAAGUCAGAUGUGAAAUCUAUGGGCUUAACCCAUAAACUGCAUUUGAAACUGUAUCUCUUGAGUGUCGGAGAGGUAGAUGGAAUUCCUAGUGUAGCGGUGAAAUGCGUAGAUAUUAGGAGGAACACCAGUGGCGAAGGCGAUCUACUGGACGAUAACUGACGCUGAGGCGCGAAAGCGUGGGGAGCAAACAGGAUUAGAUACCCUGGUA